AGUGAACGCUGGCGGUAGGCCUAACACAUGCAAGUCGAACGGCAGCACAGUAAGAGCCUGCUCUUACGGGUGGCGAGUGGCGGACGGGUGAGGAAUACAUCGGAAUCUACUUUUUCGUGGGGGAUAACGUAGGGAAACUUACGCUAAUACCGCAUACGACCUACGGGUGAAAGCAGGGGAUCUUCGGACCUUGCGCGAUUGAAUGAGCCGAUGUCGGAUUAGCUAGUUGGCGGGGUAAAGGCCCACCAAGGCGACGAUCCGUAGCUGGUCUGAGAGGAUGAUCAGCCACACUGGAACUGAGACACGGUCCAGACUCCUACGGGAGGAAGCAGUGGGGAAUAUUGGACAAUGGGCGCAAGCCUGAUCCAGCCAUACCGCGUGGGUGAAGAAGGCCUUCGGGUUGUAAAGCCCUUUUGUUGGGAAAGAAAAGCAGCAGGUUAAUACCCCGCUGUUCUGACGGUACCCAAAGAAUAAGCACCGGCUAACUUCGUG
rnacentral:rRNA from 1 species